GGGCGAGUGGUGGAACGGCAGACACGGCGGAUUUAAAAUUCGCUGGGCCUUCAAAGCCCGUGCGGGUUCGACUCCCGCCUCGCCCA
rnacentral:tRNA from 1 species